GGGGGCGAAACGGCUUCGACAGGGAUCGGCGGCCGCGGUGGGAGCGAGCCGGGGACCCGCGCCCCGUCAACAAGCGGGAAGAAAAACAGACGCCGACAGCGAGUUGGCUCUGGCCGCUUAAUGACAGCGGCCCGUCCCUCCCCGGGAGGCCCGCGACCGGGGAAGGGGCGUCGCUCAGCGGGAUAGCCGAGGCCCGACUCCCGUAAGGCCGAGGGACAAAGCACGGGAUAGUUCCCGGCGAGCCCUCCGCCGGGCGGACCGGGAGCGAAACCCAAACGGCGGAUACGCUCGUAGAGCCCACGCGGUCGGAUUUCUGGACGGGGGUUCGACUCCCCCCGCCUCCACCA
rnacentral:tmRNA from 1 species